rnacentral:rRNA from 1 species
CAAUAGCGUAUCUUAAUGUUGUUGCAGUUAAAAAGCUCGUAGUCGAAUUUCUGGCCGGGACUUGCCGACUUUACCGUGCGUAGUCCUAGGUCAUCCGCCUAUGAUGAUGUAAGGAGAUUAAUUUCUACUGCAUUGGAGUAGGCACUUUACUUUGAAGAAAUUAGAGUGUUUCAGGCAGGCAAUCGCUUGAAUACACCAGCAUGGAAUAAUGGAAAAGGACUGUUUCUUAUUUUUGGUGAAUUUGAAAUAGUAAUGAUUAAUAGGGAUAGUUGGGGGUAUUCGUAUUCAAUUGUCAGAGGUGAAAUUCUUGGAUUUAUGGAAGACGAACUACUGCGAAAGCAUUUACCAAGGAUGUUUUCAUUAAUCAAGAACGAAAGUUAGGGGAUCGAAGAUGAUCAGAUACCGU